UCCCUGGUGGUCCAAUGAUUAAGGCUCUGCAUUGCUAAUGCAGGGGGCUCAGGUUAGAUCCCUAGCAGGGAA
rnacentral:tRNA from 1 species